ACUAAAUAGCUAGCUUAAACACCAAAACUAAAUCAUCAACAUUAACAUGUUUUACUAAACAUUAAUUUAACAAAACUAAACCAUUCUCCUGCCUUAGUACGGGCGACGAAAAAGGCACUUAUAAGCAAUAGAAAAAGUACCGCAAGGGAAAGCUGAAAGAGAAAAUGAAACAACCCAUUUAAGUAAAACAAAGCAGAGAUUAAACCUCGUACCUUUUGCAUCAUGAUUUAGCUAGUCUAAUUGAGCAAAGAGAACUUUAGUUCAAAUCCCCGAAACCAAGUGAGCUACCUCGAGACAGCCUUUAAUUAGGGCCAACCCGUCUCUGUGGCAAAAGAGUGGGAAGAGCUCCAGGUAGCGGUGACAGACCUACCGAACUUGGUAAUAGCUGGUUGCCUAGAAAAUGGAUAGAAGUUCAGCCUCAUACCCCUCAAUUCAAUACAAAUUUAUUACACAACGAACUCGAGAAAUAUAUGAGAGUUAGUCAAAGGAGGUACAGCUCCUUUGAACAAGGAUACAACCUUUCAAGGAGGUUAAGGAUUAUACCCUACAAGAUUCCUGCUCAAGUGGGCCUAAAAGCAGCCAUCUAGACAGAAAGCGUUAUAGCUCAGGCAGACUUUAAUCCAUUAUUCUUAUAAUCAAUCCAAAACCCCUAAACCUACUAGGCCUUUCCAUGCUAACAUGGAAGUGAUCCUGCUAAAAUUAGUAACAAGAAAGCAACCCUUUCUCCUAGUCCCAGUGUACGUUAGAUCGGACCCCCCACUAACAAAUAACGAACCCAACCAAAGAGGGCAAUGUAACCCACAAAAAAAUACAAGAAAAACCUACACACACCCAAUCGUUAACCCUACACAGGAAGACUAAAAAGGAAAGACUCAAAAAAGAGGAAGGAACUCGGCAAACACAAGCCUCGCCUGUUUACCAAAAACAUCGCCUCCCGCAAAAUCCAACGUAUAGGAGGUCCUGCCUGCCCAGUGAACUAGUUUAAACGGCCGCGGUAUCUUGACCGUGCAAAGGUAGCGCAAUCACUUGUCUUUUAAAUGAAGACCUGUAUGAAUGGUGGAACGAGGGCUUAACUGUCUCCCCCCUUAGGUCAGUGAAAUUGAUCUAUCCGUGCAGAAGCGGGUAUAAUUAUACAAGACGAGAAGACCCUUUGGAGCUUAAGACACCAAGACCAAUUAUGUCAAAAAUCUGUUACAAGACAGAUUAAACCUAAUAACACCUGGUCCCAGUCUUCGGUUGGGGCGACCGCGGGGGAAAAUAAAGCCCCCAUGUGGAAUGGGGAAACACCCCAAAACCAAGAGAGACAUCUCCAAGACACAGAACAUCUGACCAUUAUAGAUCCGGCUACAUAGCCGAUCAACGGACCAAGUUACCCUAGGGAUAACAGCGCAAUCCCCUCCCAGAGUCCCUAUCGACAAGGGGGUUUACGACCUCGAUGUUGGAUCAGGACAUCCUAAUGGUGCAGCCGCUAUUAAGGGUUCGUUUGUUCAACGAUUAAAGUCCUACGUGAUCUGAGUUCAGACCGGAGCAAUCCAGGUCAGUUUCUAUCUGUAAUGCUAUUUUUUCUAGUACGAAAGGACCGAAAAAAUGGGGCCCAUAUUACAAACACGCCCCACCCUUAAUUGAUGAAACCAACUAAAUCAAAUAAAAGGAGAGCAUACCUCAACUCAAGAUAAGAGUUU
rnacentral:rRNA from 1 species